UACGAAGGGGGCUAGCGUUGCUCGGAAUCACUGGGCGUAAAGCGCACGUAGGCGGAUUGUUAAGUCAGGGGUGAAAUCCUGGAGCUCAACUCCAGAACUGCCUUUGAUACUGGCGAUCUUGAGUCCGGGAGAGGUGAGUGGAACUGCGAGUGUAGAGGUGAAAUUCGUAGAUAUUCGCAAGAACACCAGUGGCGAAGGCGGCUCACUGGCCCGGUAUGACGCUGAGGUGCGAAAGCGUGGGGAGCAAACAGG
rnacentral:rRNA from 1 species